GUCAAUAACCCCGCCGUAAACGGCGAGGCUUGGUAAAGCCUCAGAUUGACUAGCCUCAGUGCUUUGGGCACUCCGUUGGGAUCGUCACGACACCUUGGGAUACGCGUCCUAGUUCCAAGCCCUGUCGUCCGUGGUUAAAAGUCUUGUGGGGUAGAGACGGUGCUGCGGGCACGACAAGCGGUUCCAACAUUGGCGAAGGACAACGCAC
rfam:Sulfobacillus thermosulfidooxidans strain ZBY contig7, whole genome shotgun sequence.